CAGGCGGCUCUACGUGAAUUACUCUUUCUCUAUUACAAUUCACCUGUCUUUAUAAAUUGGCUCUGUCUAGGAAAUGGGCAAGGUGAACACACCGGGCAGUUACACACCGGAGGUACGUGCUAUUAACAUGAUUUCACUUUUUAUGUUGACCUUGAUCAUCAGGCUGAAGUAGUCUGUCAGUCCUCUCCACUGUAAAGUUACUCAUCCCUUCCUUUUCCUUAAUCUUUUGCAGGAAGUCGUUACGUAUAGCUCACAUUUAAUGAAGGUACCGGGAGUUAUGCUCCACCUCCAUGAAGACAGAGUACCUACAUAAAUUAUUUGAAAUUCUGCAUGGGAGAUUUGUCUGUUCUACCUCAUUUAUUUAAUUAUUCAUUUUUAACUGUAUGAACUCAAGUGUUGCUUUUUUUUUUUUUUUUAAAGAAGCAGCUUUUGGUUUUGUUUAUCCGAUUUUGUUUCUUAUUCCAUCGGCUUUUGCUUUAAUCUUUUAUUUCCUUAGCUGUUUUGUUUUAUAGAGACAGGGUCUCACUUUGUUGCCCAGGCUGGUCUCAAGUGAUCCACGCAAGUCUCAACUCCUGACCUCAAGUGAUCCUCCUUCCCAGGCCUCCCAAAGUGCUGGGAUUACAGGUGUGAGCGCCUGGCCCUUAGUUUUUGUUUCUUUAGGAUCAUUCUGUUUUCUGUAAUUUUUGGAGUUGAAUCUUUACCUCACUGGUUUUCCCUUUUUUUUUUUUUUGGAGACAGAGUCUUGCUCUGUCACCCAGGCUGGAGUACAGUGGUGCGAUCUUGGCUCACUGCAACCUCUGCCUCCCAGGUUCAAAUUUUUGUAUUUUUAGUAGGGAAAGGGUUUCACCAUGUUGGCCAGGCUGGUCUUGAACUCCUGACCCUCAGGUGAUCCUCCUGCCUCCGCCUCCCACAAUGCUGGGAUUACAGGCGUGAGCCACCAUGUUGGCCCCAUUCUUUCCUCUUUGAUUCCUGCAGUACUUUCCCACUCCACCCUUCAUCCUCUCCAGCACAUUGAAACCACCUAAUAAUGCAAAGAUUAUGACAAUGGGAGAAGUCUAGCAUGACUGACUCCAUCUUGCUUCUAGCCUCACAGGCUGGCUGUCCUCAUUCCUUCCUGGGCAUAGGCCAAACUAACCUUGGGAGGAAUUUAAUUUCUAGUUUAACUUUAAGGCAAGGAUGAUAAUAGUCCCUCUCUAAAACGGAUCCCCUCCUUGUUCAGGGACUGAAAUAGCUUUUGUAAGACUAAUGAAAACCCACAAUAUUAGGAUUAUGGAGUGCCUGACUUCUGCCAAAAUGUAGGUGUAGUUUUUGUAAUCCCUUACUGCUCAGAAGUUAUGUGGCCUUAGGUUAUAAGAUUUGUGACUUCCCCAGUUUCUCUUACAGAUAAGAUCACUAGUGUAGAACCUCAGAUUGAUCUAUUGAAUUGUUUUUCACAUUUUUGCAUUCUGGCAACUGACAUACCCUACCAGGGCGCAUGACUCCUGACUCAACCAGUCCUGUGGUCCCCACCCAGAGGUGCGCUUAGUGCACAAGGGCCAUUUUCCACACCCCUAAGAUUUCAUCUUCAACUAUUCCCUAGUUCCCUGCCCACCAAAUAAUCUAUAAAAACUCUGGCCUCUGAGCUCUCAGGGAGGCAGAUUUUAGUAAUCUUAAACUCCUGUCUCUCUGCUUGGCUGGCCUUGCAUUAAUAAGACUAUUUCUUUACUACCACAACACUGUCUCAGUGAAUUGGAUUUCCCUCAGUGAAUUGGAUUUCCCUGUGUAGCAGGCAAGACGAACCUGUUGGGUGAUUACAACAUUGCUGGAUUGAUAGCAGCCUCAUCUGCCAGGCUCAAAAUCCAGGAUCCAAAGUCCACAAAUAUAAAUCUGAAGAGGACCUGGGAGAAGCUUCUGCUGGCAGCUCAUGCCAUUGUUGCCAUUGAAAACCCUGCUGAUGUGUCAUAUCCUGCAGGAAUACUGGCUAGUGGGCUGUGCUGAAGUUUGCUGCUACCAUUGGAGCCACAUGUAUUGCUGCUCACUUCACUUCUGGAACCUUUGCUAACCAGAUCCAGUCAUCUUCUGCUACCCACAUCUUCUGGAUGGUUACUGAUUCUAGGGCUAUCAGCCUCUCUCAGAGGCUUCUUAUGGUAACCUACCUACCACUGCUCUACAUCACAGAUUCUCUCUGAGCCAUGCGGACAUUGUCAUCCCAUGGAACAACAAGGAAACUCAAUCACUGAGUCUAAUGUAGUGGAUGCUGGCCCAGGAAGCUCUGUGCAUGUGUUGCACCAUCUCCCAUGAUCAUGCCUGAUCUCUACUUCUAUAGAGAUUCUGAAGAGAUUGAAAAGGAAGAGUAGGCUGCAGCUGAAAAAGGAGGAAUUUCAAAGUGAAUGGACUGCUCCAGUGGAAGUUUACUGCUACUCAGUCUGAGGUUGCAGACUGGUUUAAAGGCAUGCAGGUGCCCUCUGUGCCUAUUCAGCAGUUCCCUACUGAAGAUUGGAGCACUCAGCCUACCAUGAAUGACUGGUCCGCAACUCCCACUGCUCAGACCAGUGAAUGGGUAAGAAUAACCAAUGAGUGGCCUUAAGCUGUUCUUCCACAAGCUCUUAAACAAGAUGGAAAUAAGGCUGAUGGAAAUAAACAACAGUUUCCAAGAAAAAAAGGAACAGCUGAAGUGGCAAUGUUUAAAUAAUAUCUAGUAGACUUUAACAUGGAUGUCAUUAAGCAGGAAAUUAUGAUCUUUUAAGUUGGAACAUGUAAUGUUAAUCCUUUUGCACCAAAAUAUCUCUUUAAGUCUAAAUUAUCCACUUUUUUUUUUUUAAUUCUUUGUAGA